UGCCUGGUGGCCAUAGCGAGUGGGUCCCACCCCUUCCCAUCCCGAACAGGACCGUGAAACCACUUAGCGCCGAUGAUAGUACGGAUACCCGUGCGAAAGUAGGACACCGCCAGGCUC
rnacentral:rRNA from 1 species